AUAAAAAAUGUGAGAAACCGACACAGAGCUACAUCAGUAAAAUCCCUAAACCCAAUCAAAUGGGUACUGUUCAUACUUCCCUAACCCUCCCUCUUUGCAAUUUCUCUAGCGAAACCAGCGGCCACUCGAGCCCCUUUCACCCUCUUCAAAACACCCUGUUCAAAACCGGCCACGCAAGACCCUUUCCUCCUCUUCUUAAUCGGGCGGUGACCUAACCCCGGCCUCCUCCUUUCUUCUUUGUCUUCUACAUAAUUGAGCGGUUGUUGUUAGGGUUGUUAAUUGAAGGACGGUCUUGGGUUAUUAUGAGGCCAUUGUAACAACCAGAGGGUGUGCCGAGUGGGGGUAUUGAUGAUGUGAUUUUUUCAAUUGAGCAGCCUUGGUUAGUAAGGUCGAGCCAAUACAUGUCUUUUUGUUGGUUUUUUUUCAUUAUUGAUGAAGAUGAAGUUUGGAAGAUUUGAGUUGCAUGUUGAUGAAAUCUGGAGCGUCGAUUAGAGUGUGCCAUUCUUUGCAUAUUGAUCUGUAACAGAGCAAGUCUUUCACACUUAAAUGGAAAAGUAUGUUCAUGAGGAUAUCACUGUCUGUGACUAGAAGAGAGGAAGAAGAAAAAUCUAGAAUCUAAGAACUCUAAUCCCAACCGUGAAAUGAGAAGAGAAGAAAGCUUGAAGAAUCUUAACCCUUUCGACCACUUCUUUAAAAAAUUCUUCUGUGAAAGGAACAUUAGAUUCUCAACCACCUUCGGCUCUUAGAAUUGAUGAGAGCUUGUCUCCAACAUCUCUUGAUUCUGUUGUAAUAGCAAAGAAGGAGACCAAGAAUGAAAAAUACUCUAGUACCAGUCCCAUAAAUUCAGCUGAAUGCUUAGAGGCUGAUCAGGAAAAAAGCUUCUUUUGGAAAAACAUGGACCUGAUCAUGUUGCAAGGAUAUCUGUGUUUGAGAAAAUGGCUCAAUGUUUUAUUAUAAAGCUUAUGGGCGCUACUUAUCGAUACAAUUUUAAAUCGAAGAUUGGAUAAGCAAGAAGGCACUUCGGAUAAUAUCAAGAGUUAUGAAAGUUAGGAGCAGGAGAACUGUUUCUAAUCACACUUAUGGAGGAUAUGCUUGUGUAUUGUAAGUGAAAUUUUUUACUAAUUUAUGAAGGUUGGGUUUGUAUAUUGAAAGUACUGUUAGAAAUAUUUGUUAAGUAGACACUUUAUGUAAUACCA